rnacentral:rRNA from 1 species
CCUACGGGAGGCAGCAGUGAGGAAUAUUGGUCAAUGGACGAGAGUCUGAACCAGCCAAGUAGCGUGAAGGAUGACUGCCCUAUGGGUUGUAAACUUCUUUUAUAAAGGAAUAAAACGCGGCACGUGUGCCUUUUUGCAUGUACUUUAUGAAUAAGGAUCGGCUAACUCCGUGCCAGCAGCUGCGGUAAUACGGAGGAUCCGAGCGUUAUCCGUAUUUAUUGGGUUUAAAGGGAGCGUAUAUGGGUUGUUAAGUCAGUUGUGAAAGUUUGCGGCUCAACCGUAAAAUUGCAAUUGAUACUGGCAUUCGUGAGUACGGUGGAGGUAAGCGGAAUUCGUGGUGUAGCGGUGAAAUGCUUAGAUAUCACGAAGAACCCCGAUUGCGAAGGCAGCUUACGAAACUGUGACUGACAUUGAUGCUCGAAAGUGUGGGUAUCAAACAGGAUUAGAUACCCCUGUAGUC